UACAGAGGGGGCAAGCGUUGUUCGGAAUUACUGGGCGUAAAGGGCGCGUAGGCGGCCUUCUAAGUCGAACGUGAAAUCCCCGGGCUCAACCCGGGAACUGCGUCCGAUACUGGAAGGCUUGAAUCCGGGAGAGGGAUGUGGAAUUCCAGGUGUAGCGGUGAAAUGCGUAGAUAUCGGGAGGAACACCAAUGGCGAAGGCAGCUCGCUGGGACGUGACUGACGCUGAGACGCGAAAGCGUGGGGAGCAAACAGG
rnacentral:rRNA from 1 species